UGGUGCGAAGAAAAAGUCGAUUAAUGUUCGCAGUACGAUUUAACGACGUUGCUUAUAGAGAACAAGAGAAUCUCGAUAGAAAACUGCUGCAAGUAUAAGGAUGUGUUCGAUUUUCUGCAAUCUCUUCGUUGUUAACUCUUUGAUAGCGAGACAGGUUCGAAUAAACCGUCGACUGUAGCGCAGAUUUCGUAUCUUACGUGUUACUGUGCAUGUGCAUAACGCGAUGUUAUCUGAGAUUAUUGUUCGCGAAAAGCUACAAGUACGUACGAUACUUUUUGUAUCUCGUGUGAAAAAUACAAGAUAUAUCGAGGACAAGAAACAACAACUUUCUAAAUGGUUUGUUCUGAAUUCUUCGUUUUAUCGCGCUGUGAAAGGAUCGAGAGUGAUAACGAUAACUUGCUGUUAAACGAUUUUUGUUCACAGAGAGUGGAGACAGGAUUAUAUUCCCUGAAAAUCGAUUUUGAAAAUAUAUCCAUCACGUACUUAACUUCCAAGCAAUAAUUUAAUACACCACGAUACAGGAAAUAUGUCAGGUGUUGCCCUGUACAUGCUUAUGGGCGGCAGCGUGAGUCGGGCUCAAAAUCCGUGGCGAAUAGCGGCGUGAAAUAACGUCGAGCGUUGAAAAACCCAUUGAGCGAAAGUACUAGGGAAAGAGAAUGAACGCG